rnacentral:rRNA from 1 species
UACAGAGGUCCCGAGCGUUGUUCGGAUUUAUUGGGCGUAAAGGGCGCGUAGGCGGCGGAGUAAGUUGGGUGUGAAAUCCCGAGGCUCAACCUCGGAAUUGCAUUCAAUACUGCUUCGCUCGAGUACUGGAGAGGAGGCUGGAAUUUACGGUGUAGCAGUGAAAUGCGUAGAUAUCGGAAGGAAGGCCGGUGGCGAAAGCGAGCCUCUGGACAGUUACUGACGCUGAUGCACGAAGGCCAGGGGAGCAAACGGG